UGCCUAGUGGCCAGUUCAAAUAGUUGCAGGU
rnacentral:piRNA from 1 species